CACAAUGUUUGUUUACAAUAACUUCCAGGUAGAAAACUCCUGCGUCCCGUACAUGCUGAACAAAUGG